rnacentral:ncRNA from 1 species
GCGGUACCGGUUCACGCCGGGGCGGAUUUACCGGCCCGGCGACCCGGCGACC